GACGAACGCUGGCGGCGUGCCUAAUACAUGCAAGUUGAGCGCUGAAGGUUGGUACUUGUACCAACUGGAUGAGCAGCGAACGGGUGAGUAACGCGUGGGGAAUCUGCCUUUGAGCGGGGGACAACAUUUGGUAACGAAUGCUAAUACCGCAUAAAAACUUUAAACACAAGUUUUAAGUUUGAAAGAUGCAAUUGCAUCACUCAAAGAUGAUCCCGCGUUGUAUUAUCUAGUUGGUGAGGUAAAGGCUCACCAAGGCGAUGAUACAUAGCCGACCUGAGAGGGUGGUCGGCCACAUUGGGAAUGAGACACGGCCCAAACUCCUACGGGAGGCAGCAGUAGGGAAUCUUCGGCAAUGGACGAAAGUCUGACCGAGCAACGCCGCGUGAGUGAAGAAGGUUUUCGGAUCGUAAAACUCUGUUGGUAGAGAAGAACGUUGGUGAGAGUGGAAAGCUCAUCAAGUGACGGUAACUAAACAGAAAGGGACGGCUAACUACGUG
rnacentral:rRNA from 1 species